GGUACUAUCUCAGGCAGCACACUGAGGCAAGGCAAUUCUCAUUUUGAGGUUUGCUACCCAACCUUUGUGGUUGGGGAACCUACUAACCCGAGGUUAAUGGGCGUGCUUUGUGUGAGUUCACCCACCAAGGUCAAAGGUGAACAUCUCACAUCAUGCCUCACUUAAGAAGGUUUCAAUCAAACAACCAAUCACUUUAAUGCCCUGCUUAAUUAUAAGCCCGCGCUACUAGGCUCGGCAAUAUGAAAUGCUAUGUAAGUCAUUAUAAAAUUUUGUAUGAUGACAUAUUUUCCCGAUGUGGUACU
rnacentral:lncRNA from 1 species